UACGAAGGGGGCUAGCGUUGUUCGGAAUUACUGGGCGUAAAGCGCACGUAGGCGGCUUUGUAAGUUAGAGGUGAAAGCCCGGGGCUCAACUCCGGAAUUGCCUUUAAGACUGCAUCGCUCGAAUUGUGGAGAGGUAAGUGGAAUUCCGAGUGUAGAGGUGAAAUUCGUAGAUAUUCGCAAGAACACCAGUGGCGAAGGCGGCUCACUGGCCCGGUACUGACGCUGAGGUGCGAAAGCGUGGGGAGCAAACAGG
rnacentral:rRNA from 1 species